AAAUUGAAGAGUUUGAUCAUGGCUCAGAUUGAACGCUGGCGGCAGGCCUAACACAUGCAAGUCGAGCGGUAACACAGGGAGCUUGCUCCUGGGUGACGAGCGGCGGACGGGUGAGUAAUGUCUGGGAAACUGCCUGAUGGAGGGGGAUAACUACUGGAAACGGUAGCUAAUACCGCAUAAU
rnacentral:rRNA from 1 species